rnacentral:rRNA from 1 species
GUCGAGCGGUAGCACAGAGAGCUUGCUCUCGGGUGACGAGCGGCGGACGGGUGAGUAAUGUCUGGGAAACUGCCUGAUGGAGGGGGAUAACUACUGGAAACGGUAGCUAAUACCGCAUAACGUCGCAAGACCAAAGUGGGGGACCUUCGGGCCUCAUGCCAUCAGAUGUGCCCAGAUGGGAUUAGCUAGUAGGUGGGGUAACGGCUCACCUAGGCGACGAUCCCUAGCUGGUCUGAGAGGAUGACCAGCCACACUGGAACUGAGACACGGUCCAGACUCCUACGGGAGGCAGCAGUGGGGAAUAUUGCACAAUGGGCGCAAGCCUGAUGCAGCCAUGCCGCGUGUGUGAAGAAGGCCUUCGGGUUGUAAAGCACUUUCAGCGGGGAGGA